AUGGGUGAAUCAACGCUUGCAAUUCGCAGAGAGGUCGUAUAUGACGUCAGGGUGACUGGGGUCAGCGAUCUUCAAGGACCCAACGAAAGGAACCGGUUCGGAAUCCUUGUCAAGUUCGCCUCGGAUGUCCAGCAAUUCAUCCACUACGAGCCCGUGUUCACGUCGGUGGAGGUAUUGGGCUACCUGAGCGGUUACCUGGGCAUCUGGCUGGGUCUCUGCUUCGCCACCGUCUCGCUCGAGGCUCAGUCCAGGCUCACGGAUCUCUGCUCCCGAGGUCAACCUUCUGCUUGGAGUAGGGACAUGUUGCGACGGUGGAUGCACUUCAAGGCCGAAGUUUUGCGCCGCGAAGGACUUAUCCGCCGCAGACGCUGGGCCGCAGCGGUGUUGCCUUUUCCGAACUGAAUGGGGCAUCUGAUAACAACCCUGCGCUCCAAGCACCCUGAACACCAUCUUUAGCCAAUAGCAUUUCGUUGUCUCACUGAGAGCUUCUGCAUAGUCCUAUUCACAAAAGUAACGAAGAAAACUUUUUUUAAACGAUUUUAAACACGUUUUUGGGAAGUGAAACAACAUAUAGUUUAUUUAUUUUCCCAGUAAAUUUAGCAGGAAAAUUCACGUCACGGUUUUAAGUCGCUGUGUCACAUGAUCCCAAUUUCUCCGCUAAAUUGAGCGGAAAAAUCGACGUCAGGCGACAUGAUCACCUGACGUGACAUUAGGGGGUCAAUUCGUGGCGACACGUGGUACCCCGAUGUCACGUGACGUCGCUUUCCCCGAUAAAUUUAGCGAGGACAUUUCUGAAAUGAUAAGGGGUUGUUCCGAACAACCUGUUCUGAAUGGCGUUUAUGUGAAUGGCAAUAGUGCCAUUCACACUUACCCGAUGACGUCUUCAACUUCGUGACACGCAUUGACUUUUCCGUCGU